AUUACUGUGCAGGGUGGGUUAUGGGGUUUCGGAGUGGGUAUAAGGUCUUCCCCUCCCCAUCCCACACAAAUCGGGGUCGGGGCGGAGUCGGGGAAAAUUUAUCGCUUUUGCCAUCCCUAUUUGGUGGCAAUGACAGGAAAGCAGCAGUAAUGUUGUGGUGGCAAAUACCAAGUAGUUAGUGACUUUACAAUACUGAGGAUGCUAGAGGUGAUAAGAAGUUGGUUUGAACUGAUAGGUUGAAUUGCUGUUGCAGUGACUGGAAAACAGGUUGGUGCAGGUGGUGCUUGGUUCUUAAGGUGGGAGCAGGAAGGCCAAGCUCAAGCACAUGGGGGCAAUUGAUAACUGAUUGGUGGCUGGAGUCCCAUUACCAUUAUUAGAAGGUAUGAUAGUGCCAACAAGUCAGAUAAUAGCUUGCUAGUGAUGAUAACAUUAAUUAUUUUUAAAAAGAUGGAUUUCAAGUCUAUUUAUGUUGAAAAAGGGGAGAGGGAGAGAGAGAGAAUGAACAGGAGAAAAAAGAAAUAGGGGUAAAUUUCAAUAACUAUCCCUGAACUUAUAUGGUUGUAACACUACAGUCCUUAAACUUUAAAACGUAAUAUAAAACCUCAUAAACUUUAAAAUUUUGCACAUUAAAAUCCCUCUAACUUUCAAUUACUGAUUUUUCAGU
rnacentral:misc_RNA from 1 species